CUACGGGCCGCUCCAGUGGGGAAUAUUGCACAAUGGACGAAAGUCUGAUGCAGCAACGCCGCGUGGAGGAUGACACAUUUCGGUGCGUAAACUCCUUUUAUAUAAGAAGAUAAUGACGGUAUUAUAUGAAUAAGCACCGGCUAACUCCGUGCCAGCAGCCGCGGUAAUACGGGGGGUGCAAGCGUUACUCGGAAUCACUGGGCGUAAAGCGCAUGUAGGCGGACUUGUAAGUUGGAAGUGAAAUCCUAUGGCUCAACCAUAGAACUGCUUCCAAAACUGCUUGUCUAGAAUAUGGGAGAGGUAGAUGGAAUUUCUGGUGUAGGGGUAAAAUCCGUAGAGAUCAGAAGGAAUACCGAUUGCGAAGGCGAUCUACUGGAACAUUAUUGACGCUCAGAUGCGAAAGCGUGGGGAGCAAACAGGAUUAGAUACCCUCGUAGUC
rnacentral:rRNA from 1 species